GAUCAUCUGGGUGAUGGGGAUGAUAAUGGGAUUGUUUUAGUUGCUUGCAAAGAUGAAUACUCAUGCAUGCAACUCGAAGAUUGCAUUACAAAUGGCUCACAAAAGGUCAUGUGUGAAGAGUGGGAAAAGUAUCUGUUGAGCAAGGUACAGCUGCAAGCAUUGCCAAAACGCAAUGCCAAGAAAGCUAAAGAGCCUAAAGGGUUUG
rnacentral:misc_RNA from 1 species